CAAGGAGGGUUCUUGUUCUGGGCACACAGCUAUGGAAAAACAUUAAAAAAUAAUCUCUAAGGAAUUUCAGCCUGAAUGCCUGGAAAUACUCAGUAUGAGGCACAGCUAGUGAUUAGAAAUGUAUCUGGCAGAGACUAUGGGAUUUCUCCAUCAGUCAGCUUCCCUCUUUGUGAGCACAGGCAGGUUCAUACCAGCAUUCAUAUAAUUUUGUCUUAACUGCUGCUGCUUCUUAGUAUAAAAAGACUUCAAAUGGCAUUUUUCUUACUAGCCUUCCUAGCAGAUGCUCCCAUGGCACCUAGGAUCUGGGAGCCUCAAUAUGAUGAAUUAGUCUCCCCCUCCAAUAUCUUUACAGGCUGAAGAUACCAACUUGUUGACUGGAUGAACUCACAGGGACCUGGAGCAGUUCAGUGACUUAGUGUUAAACCUCUGUUUCUUCUUAAGAGGCACAACCAGAGGCUACUGAUACCUUGACCUUUUGUUUCUUGGAGUACCCAGUGGAAAUAAUGGACUAAUAAGAUCCAGGAAGAGUCAGCUGAUGGUCCCACCCAACUGCUGUUGUCAGUCUAUGAAGCCAAGAGAAGUGAUGGUGACGAGAGGUUACUGCCAGCUCCCUGAGGGAUGGUGCUGGCAUUGUGGAUGGACACCGGUUUGUAAGGCACUGCCUGUACAGUGUCACCCAUCUGCUGGGUUUGGAAAACCUGUUUGAAUUCAAGAGCUCUGGAUUGCACAAGAAAGUAAUGUAAUAAACUCGAGCCCCUUCUGGUAAGUGUGGGAAAG
rnacentral:lncRNA from 1 species